UGGGGAAUAUUGGACAAUGGGCGAAAGCCUGAUCCAGCCAUGCCGCGUGUGUGAAGAAGGUCUUCGGAUUGUAAAGCACUUUAAGUUGGGAGGAAGGGCAGUAAGCGAAUACCUUGCUGUUUUGACGUUACCGACAGAAUAAGCACCGGCUAACUCUGUGCCAGCAGCCGCGGUAAUACAGAGGGUGCAAGCGUUAAUCGGAAUUACUGGGCGUAAAGCGCGCGUAGGUGGUUCGUUAAGUUGAAUGUGAAAGCCCCGGGCUCAACCUGGGAACUGCAUCCAAAACUGGCGAGCUAGAGUAGGGCAGAGGGUGGUGGAAUUUCCUGUGUAGCGGAGAAAUGCGUAGAUAUAGGACGGAACACCAGUGGCGAAGGCGACCACCUGGGCUCAUACUGACACUGAGGUGCGAAAGCGUGGGGAGCAAACAGG
rnacentral:rRNA from 1 species